UACAAGUUCAAACCAAACAACUGCUACUGAUGUCCAAACUCCCAGUAGUGCUAUUACCAUAAACCAGGUGAAAAACGAGCUUCCAGAGAGGCCUUCUUUCUUCCCAUUCUUGUUUCCUCCAUGCUUUGUCUCUUACCUGGCCAGCUGGCCGGUAAAGGGCUGAUGCGGGACUGCUCUGGA